AUGGAAGAAGUGGGGCGCUGGGCCGCCCCCAAGGACCGUCAGACCCGUCCCUUAUUACGGGGGGGGUCUCGUGCUUUGCUGUCCCCCCCCCGGGGUCGUUACGCCCUACAAGUGGAGGGCAGGAGUGGGGCCGACCCCGAAGACGGAGCCGGGGGGAGCAGCGAACUCACCUUGGUGUGGGAUCGAACCGGGGUCCCGGGGGGCAGCGUGAGUUAUGGGGUUAUAGGGGGUUAUAGGGGGCUAUAGGGGGGUUAUAGGGGGUUAUAGGGUGGCUAUGGGGUGGGUUAUGGGGACUAUGGGCGGCUAUGGGGUGGUUAUGGGGGUUAUAGGGUCCCUGUCGGGGGAUAUGGGGUCCCUAUGGGGCUGUAUGGGGGGAUAUGGGGUCUUCUAUGGGUCUAUGGGGGGAUAAUGGGGUCACUAUGGGGCUUGUAUGGGGGGAUAUGGGUCUCCUAGGGGGAUAUGGGGUCCCUAAUGGGCGCUAUGGGGGGAUAUGUGGGUCUCUAUUGGGGUCUAUGGGGAUAUGGGGUCUCGUAUGGGAUGCUGUAUGGGUGGAUAUGGCGGUCCUAUGGCUCCUAUGGGAGAUAACAGGGUUAUCAGGGGGGUUAUAGGGGGCUAAUAGGGGGAUUAUAGGGGGGUUAUGGGGGGUUCAAAAAGGCUAAUGAGUCGUGGGUAUUGGGGGCUAUGGGUGGGUUAAUGGGAGGUUGUAAGGGGUUAUGGGGCUUAUGGGGUUGGUUAUAGGGGGGUAUAGGGGGGCUGUAUGGGGGCAUAUGGGGUGGUAUAUGGGGUUUAUAGGGGGCCUAAAGUGGGGCAUGGGUGGAUUAAUAGGGUGGUUAUAGGGGGGUUAUAGGGUUAUGGGGGGUUAUAGAGGGUUAUAGGGGGGUUAUAGUGGGUUAUAGGGGGGCUAUGGGGGGUCUAAGGGGUGGGUUAUGGGGGCUAUGGGGUCUAUGGGGUGGUAUAUAGGAGGAGUUUAUCAGAGGGUUAUGGGGGGCUAUAGGGGGGCUCAUGGAGUGGGUUAUGGGGGCUAUAGGGGGCUAUGGGGGCAAUGGGGGUGUUAUAGCGGUGGUUAUAGAGGGCUUUAUGGGGGGAUUAUAGCCGGCGUAUGGGGGUUAUAGGAGUUAAUAAGGGUUAUAUGGGGGUUUAGGGGGGUUAUAGUGGGUUAUGGGGAGCUAUGGGGUGUUACUAGGGGAUAUAGGGGUAUAAGGGGGCUAUAGGGGUUAUAGGGAUAUAGGGGGGUUAUAGGGGGUUA
ensembl:lncRNA